CUGAGGUCGACUUUGCCUUUCACCCUUUCGAGGGGUUGAUAAAAUAAGUACCAGUUGAUUACUGAGGGUUGAUGGAAUCAACUUACUCCAAACCCUGAAAUUCCUGGCCUUUCUUGUACCAAAAUUAGAAAGAAUUAUUAU